rnacentral:rRNA from 1 species
GAUGAACGCUGGCGGCGUGCCUAAUACAUGCAAGUCGAGCGAACAGACGAGGAGCUUGCUCCUCUGACGUUAGCGGCGGACGGGUGAGUAACACGUGGAUAACCUACCUAUAAGACUGGGAUAACUUCGGGAAACCGGAGCUAAUACCGGAUAAUAUAUUGAACCGCAUGGUUCAAUAGUGAAAGACGGUUUUGCUGUCACUUAUAGAUGGAUCCGCGCCGCAUUAGCUAGUUGGUAAGGUAACGGCUUACCAAGGCAACGAUGCGUAGCCGACCUGAGAGGGUGAUCGGCCACACGGGAACUGAGACACGGCCCCGACUCCUACGAGAGGCAGCAGUAGGGAAUCUUACGCAAUGGGCGAAAGCCUGACGGAGCAACGCCGCGUGAGUGAUGAAGGUCUUCGGAUCGUAAAACUCUGUUAUUAGGGAAGAACAAAUGUGUAAGUAACUGUGCACAUCUUGACGGUACCUAAUCAGAAAGCCACGGCUAACUACGUG